rnacentral:rRNA from 1 species
UUCGAUGCAACGCGAAGAACCUUACCUGGUCUUGACAUCCCGGAGACCCUUAGGAAACUAGGGGGUGGCUUCCAUCUGGAAGAAUCUGGAGACAGGUGCUGCAUGGCUGUCGUCAGCUCGUGUCGUGAGAUGUGGGUUAAGUCCCGCAACGAGCGCAACCCUUGCCUUUAGUUGCCAGCAGUUCGGCUGGGCACUCUAAAGGGACUGCCGGUGUUAAACCGGAGGAAGGUGGGGAUGACGUCAAGUCCUCAUGGCCUUUAUGACCAGGGCUACACACGUACUACAAUGGCCGAUACAAAGGGCAGCGACACUGCGAGGUGAAGCCAAUCCCGUAAAAUCGGUCUCAGUCCGGAUUGGAGUCUGCAACUCGACUCCAUGAAGUUGGAAUCGCUAGUAAUCGUGGAUCAGCAUGCCACGGUGAAUACGUUCCCGGGCCUU